rnacentral:rRNA from 1 species
UACGUAGGGCGCAAGCGUUAUCCGGAAUUAUUGGGCGUAAAGAGCUCGUAGGCGGUUUGUCGCGUCUGCCGUGAAAGUCCGGGGCUCAACUCCGGAUCUGCGGUGGGUACGGGCAGACUAGAGUGAUGUAGGGGAGACUGGAAUUCCUGGUGUAGCGGUGUAAAUGCGUAGAUAUCUGGAGGAACACCGGUGGCGAAGGCGGCAUCCUGGACCGGCAUUGACGCUGAGGAGCGAAAGCCAGGGGAGCAAAGCGGGG